UACGAAGGGUGCAAGCGUUACUCGGAAUUACUGGGCGUAAAGCGUGCGUAGGUGGUUCGUUAAGUCUGUCGUGAAAGCCCCGGGCUCAACCUGGGAAUGGCGAUGGAUACUGGCGGGCUAGAGUGCGGUAGAGGAGAGUGGAAUUCCCGGUGUAGCAGUGAAAUGCGCAGAUAUCAGGAGGAACACCAAUGGCGAAGGCAGCUCGCUGGGACGGUACUGACGCUGAGGCGCGAAAGCGUGGGGAGCAAACAGG
rnacentral:rRNA from 1 species